rnacentral:rRNA from 1 species
CCUACUGGUGACUUCAUUGAGGCAUCUUGGUCAAUGGACGGAAGUCUGAACCAGCCAUGCCGCGUGCAGUCCUCCUUCUCUCUUCUUUUUCCCCUUCUUUUUUCCCCUUUUCCACCUUCCUACUUUUAUUCAGCUGAAAGUACUUUACUAAUAAUUAUCUUCUAACUCCGUGCCAGCCUCCUCGGUAAUACUGAGUCUCCCAGCGUUAUCCGGAUUUAUUGGGUUUAAAGUUUGCGUAGGCGGAUUGAUAAGUUAGAGGUGAAAUGUGCGAGCUUAACUCGGGAAAUGCAUAUAAUAAUGUUGAUCUAGAGAGUAGAUGCGGUAGGCGGAAUGUAUGGUGUAGCGGUGAAAGGCUUAGAGAUCAUAAAGAACACCGAUUGAGAAGGCAGCUUAAAAAUCUAUAGAUGAAGUUGAGGCACGAAAGAGGGGGGAGAAAACAGGAUGAGAGAAAAAGGGAGUC